UACGGAGGGGGCAAGCGUUGUUCGGAAUUACUGGGCGUAAAGGGCGCGCAGGCGGCUGCUCAAGUCAGGCGUGAAAGGCCUGGGCUCAACCCGGGAAUUGCGCUUGAGACUGGGCUGGCUUGAGUGCGGGAGAGGAUGGUGGAAUUCCCAGUGUAGAGGUGAAAUUCGUAGAUAUCGGGAGGAACACCAGCGGCGAAGGCGGCACUCUGGGCUGGUACUGACGCUGAGGAGCGAAAGCGUGGGUAGCAAACAGG
rnacentral:rRNA from 1 species